rnacentral:tRNA from 1 species
CCGAUAUAGCUCAGCGGUAGAGCAACGCUCUCGUAAAGCGUAGGUCGUCGGUUCAAAUCCGACUAUCGG